AUUGAACGCUGGCGGCAUGCCUUACACAUGCAAGUCGAACGGUAACGGGCCUUCGGGUGCCGACGAGUGGCGAACGGGUGAGUAAUACAUCGGAACGUGCCCGAUCGCGGGGGAUAACGAGGCGAAAGCUUCGCUAAUACCGCAUACGAUCUACGGAUGAAAGCAGGGGACCGCAAGGCCUUGCGCGGACGGCGCGGCCGGUGGCAGAUUAGGUAGUUGGUGGGGUAAAAGCUUACCAAGCCGACGAUCUGUAGCGGGUCUGAGAGGAUGAUCAGCCACACUGGGACUGAGACACGGCCCAGACGCCUACGGGAGGCAGCAGUGGGGAAUUUUGGACAAUGGGCGCAAGCCUGAUCCAGCCAUGCCGCGUGCAGGAUGAAGGCCUUCGGGUUGUAAACUGCUUUUGUACGGAACGAAAAGCCUUCUUCUAAUACAGGAGGGUCAUGACGGUACCGUAAGAAUAAGCACCGGCUAACUACGUGCCAGCAGCCGCGGUAA
rnacentral:rRNA from 1 species